GUUUAAGAGUUCUGGAUGCGUGCACAUUUAGAGAAACAUAUCAACAUCCACACAAUACUGACAGCUCUUUAAGUUACACAAUCAACUAAACCAUGAGCAUGAUCAACAAUGUUUGUCCCCAAUAGAAAACCAAUGAGACCAAAAUGUGUUCCGAACUAAUGCUGUUGCCUAGCCCAACAAAACAGAGGGUCUCGAUAGUUCCUACCAGAUCUAAGUGUUCUUUCUCAGCAUUCUAUAGAACCCUUACCUGAUGACAUUUGACAAUGAUAGAUUUCUACAUUGUACUUCUUAUCCUCUGAUACUGUAGCCUAAAGACCAGAAUCCAAUGUGUACUUGACUAACCAGCAAGAUACCAACAAUGGAAAACAAAACAAAAAAAAAACGAAUGGACUAACGGAGGGGGGGGGGGGGG